AGUGAACGCUGGCGGUAGGCCUAACACAUGCAAGUCGAACGGCAGCACAGUAAGAGCUUGCUCUUACGGGUGGCGAGUGGCGGACGGGUGAGGAAUACAUCGGAAUCUACUUUUUCGUGGGGGAUAACGUAGGGAAACUUAUGCUAAUACCGCAUACGACCUACGGGUGAAAGCAGGGGAUCUUCGGACCUUGCGCGAUUGAAUGAGCCGAUGUCGGAUUAGCUAGUUGGCGGGGUAAAGGCCCACCAAGGCGACGAUCCGUAGCCGGUCUGAGAGGAUGAUCAGCCACACUGGAACUGAGACACGGUCCAGACUCCUACGGGAGGCAGCAGUGGGGAAUAUUGGACAAUGGGCGCAAGCCUGAUCCAGCCAUACCGCGUGGGUGAAGAAGGCCUUCGGGUUGUAAAGCCCUUUUGUUGGGAAAGAAAAGCAGCAGGUUAAUACCCCGCUGUUCUGACGGUACCCAAAGAAUAAGCACCGGCUAACUUCGUG
rnacentral:rRNA from 1 species